rnacentral:rRNA from 1 species
UACGUAGGCAGCAAGCGUUGUUCGGAGUUACUGGGCGUAAAGGGUGUGUAGGCGGUUCCUUAAGUUUGCUGUGAAAUCUCCCGGCUUAACCGGGAGGGUGCGGUGAAUACUGAGGGACUAGAGUACGGGAGAGGAAAGUGGAAUUCCUGGUGUAGCGGUGAAAUGCGUUGAUAUCAGGAGGAACACCCAUGGCGAAGGCAGCAAACUGGUCAUCAACUGACGCUGAGGCGCGAAAGCGUGGGUAGCAAACAGG